rnacentral:rRNA from 1 species
GGGACCAUCCUCCAAGGCUAAAUACUACUGACUGACCGAUAGUGAACCAGUACCGUGAGGGAAAGGCGAAAAGAACCCCUGUGAGGGGAGUGAAAAUAGAACCUGAAACCGUGUACGUACAAGCAGUGGGAGCCCGUAAGGGUGACUGCGUACCUUUUGUAUAAUGGGUCAGCGAGUUACUUUCAGUGGCGAGGUUAACCGUAUAGGGGAGCCGUAGGGAAACCGAGUCUUAACUGGGCGACUAGUCGCUGGGAGUAGACCCGAAACCGGGUGAUCUAGCCAUGGGCAGGUUGAAGGUGAGGUAACACUUACUGGAGGACCGAACCCACUAACGUUGCAAAGUUAGGGGAUGACCUGUGGCUAGGGGUGAAAGGCCAAUCAAACUCGGUGAUAGCUGGUUCUCCCCGAAAGCUAUUUAGGUAGCGCCUCAUGUCUUACUACUGGGGGUAGAGCACUGUUUCGGCUAGGGGGUCAUCCCGACUUACCAACCCGAUGCAAACUCCGAAUACCAGUAAGUACAAUCAUGGGAGACACACGGCGGUGCUAACGUCCGUCGUGAAGAGGGAAA